GAUGAACCUAGAUGCCUCUUUUUUUUUUUUUGGAAAGUUUUUAGAAAAUACCCUUAGCCUCAUGGACAUAAAGAUGAAAAUCUUUGUUAUAAUUUGGAAUGCCAAGGGCAGGAGUGGUUAGGAUAGCUUGUUUUAAAGUGGAUAGAGCAGUUCUUUUGUGAGCUUCAAUGGCUCCUCAACUUCAUCUUUUGUCAGACCUGUGAGACACUUGGAAAUAAGUGAAUAUCCUGAGAUUAUAAUGACAUGAGAACCCAGUAGUGCCCAGGAAUGCCCUAAGUUGAUUUUUUGUACGUGGAAUACCUAGUUUCUGUAUAUCUGCUAUUCUCUUACUAGAUAUUUUCCUGGUGCCCUUUUCCAGGAUAAAACCUAGGUACUUGACUUUUGGAAGAACCCAUUGCAACUUUGUUUUUGAGACCGUAUGUCCUCUUUUGUACAAUUCGAUUAGCAGCCUCUUUGAGUCUUCUAGGCAUGUUUUUGCAUUAGGGGAUGCCAGAAGCAGAUCAUCCACAUAAUGAACUAGCUUGCUGUGUUUGAAUUUUAUAUUUUCUAGGUCUCUUUUCAGCAGCUGGAAGAAAUUAAUGCACUCUCACAACAUCCCUGCACUAAACGAGUCCAGCAGAGCUUAUUUUCUUCCACGAGAACGCAAAUAUACUUUGGCUAUCGGGAUGGAGAGGAAUCUUAAAAUAUGCAUUGCUUAAGUCAAUUACAGUAUAUCAUAAUGCGUUGCUAGGAAUCUCAGAAAUAAUGUCAUUGGAAGAUGGUGUGAUGGUGUGGGUUUUCUUGAUUAUAUUAUUGAUUGCUCUGAGAUCCUGCACAAGUCACCAAUUUACUGUACCAUCAGAAAUUGGCUUGCUCUUUUUAAUAGCUAGUAUUGGGCUAUUAUAUUCUGACACUGUGUGUCUCAAUAUGCCCUGCUCCAGCAAGACUGUUCAUAAAGAGAUGUAAUAGCCUGCUGCUGAUCAGUGGUCUCAUCAAGCUGUCCCCAAAAUAAUAGAGGAUAAUGUUUCAGGGAUU
rnacentral:lncRNA from 1 species